rnacentral:rRNA from 1 species
CCGUGUCGUGAGAUGUUCGGUUAAGUCCGCUAACGAGCGCAACCCUCGUCGUGUGUUAUACGUGUCACACGAUACUGCCGGUAUCAAGCCGGAGGAAGGUGGGGAUGAUGUCAAGUCAGCAUGGCCUUUAUAUCCUGGGCUACACACACGCUACAAUGGCAGAUACAAUAGGUUGCGAAACCGCGAGGUGGAGCCAAUCCUCAAAGUCUGUCUCAGUUCAGAUUGUAGGCUGCAACUCGCCUGCAUGAAGUUGGAGUUGCUAGUAAACGCAGGUCAGCUAUACUGCGUUGAAUACGUUCCCGGGGUUU